rnacentral:rRNA from 1 species
GACGAACGCUGGCGGCGUGCCUAAUACAUGCAAGUCGAACGCUGAAGGAGGAGCUUGCUCUUCUGGAUGAGUUGCGAACGGGUGAGUAACGCGUAGGUAACCUGCCUGUUAGCGGGGGAUAACUAUUGGAAACGAUAGCUAAUACCGCAUAACAGUAGAUGUUGCAUGACAUUUACUUAAAGGUGCAAUUGCAUCACUACCAGAUGGACCUGCGUUGUAUUAGCUAGUUGGUGGGGUAACGGCUCACCAAGGCGACGAUACAUAGCCGACCUGAGAGGGUGAUCGGCCACACUGGGACUGAGACACGGCCCAGACUCCUACGGGAGGCAGCAGUAGGGAAUCUUUGGCAAUGGACGGAAGUCUGACCGAGCAACGCCGGGUGAGUGAAGAAGGUUUUCGGAUCGUAAAGCUCUGUUGUAAGAGAAGAACGAGUGUGAGAGUGGAAAGUUCACACUGUGACGGUAUCUUACCAGAAAGGGACGGCUAACUACGUG